GGGGUCUUACACCUUGCGCUCAAACUGGUGAUAUCAUUAUCUUUUUCAUUGAUUAUUGCAUAUUAGUUGAUCCUUGCAUUGUGAUAUAAUUAAUUUCUUUGAUCAUAAAAUAUUUUACUAUCAUCCUCUCAAACAAUUAGUAGACUAAGGUUUAGUCUAGAGUUUCUAAUCCGGUUUGGAUUAAGGUUUUUACAAUCAAGUUAAGGAAGCAUAGAUGCUUAAGAGUGCAUAAGUGCACGGGAAGCAAAAGUGCCCGGGGAAUAUAAGUAUUCAGGAGUCGAGGGAACUUAUUUUGUAAAAGAGUUAAAUUGUAAUCCAAGUUAAUUAAUAAAAGAGUCUCCAAUACUAGUUGGUAUUAGAGGUGGAUUAAUCCAGAAGAAUAGAUGUUAGGGGUUGAACCACGUAAAAAUUUAUCGUGUUCAUGUGUUUGAUUGUUUUGCU
rnacentral:lncRNA from 1 species